UAAAUUCUUGGCUCCUAAAAACUCCUUUAAUUUGCAUAAAAUACUCAGAUUGUAGCAAAAUCCUUUCAAAACAUUUUUCUCCUAUGAAGGAUUUUUUUUCUCUAAACUUUAGAAAUUCAUAUCUCUUGAUCCAAAUAUUAAUUUUUUUUUUUCAAAUUUCUAGAUAAUUUAGAAUUUAUCCUUGAGCUAUACCAUAAAAAAAUGAACUAUAAAUCUACUACAAAUCAUUUGGCAUCUUAGAAAUCCUAACAGAUUCUUUAAACCCUAAUUUACAAGCACUUGAACACUAUUUUUUCCAUAUCUCAAAAAUCCAAACUCCAAAUGCCACAAAAUUUGUGUAUAAAGUUUAAUAAUAUAAUAAUAGACAUUUAUAAAAAUAUUUGACUAAAAUCUUAUCAAUUUGCUCAAGAUAUGGCUUGAAACACAAC
rnacentral:lncRNA from 1 species